rnacentral:lncRNA from 1 species
GAUUUAGGUAUUGCAGCAGGAGUACAAUACUUCCCUCCGGUAAAGGAUUAACUUUCUCAUUAUUUCUCCAACAACAGGUACUUGUGAUUGUAUGUGGGGGAAAGCAGCAAGAACUGCCAGAGAAGUACUUUUACUUACAGGGACAUGAAGCCACAGGUGAUACAAGCAUCUGAUUAGGGAGAAGAUGUGAAAAGCACAAGAAGCAGAAAAACUGAAAGUCGUAAUAACCUACAGAAAUGUGAAGGCUGAAGUCUAAUGACGUCUUUGGAAAAGAAGUCUAAAACUGCUGAAUUCAACAUGAGUGAAAGACAAAGAAAAAAAAUUGGUUUUUGAAGACCAGUCUGCCAGUUGAACUGCCCAUUUACAUCAUGGCUGCUGGAUAGCACCAGAAAGCUCUUUGCCAUGACUAACAGUGCAGAAGAGCAAGAUCAAAUUUACAACUUACUUAUAUAUAUAUAUAAGUACUCAAAUACAUAAAACUGAAGUAACACAUUUCCUGUAAAACUGCUUAUUUAACUUCAUGUGCACAAACUCAGGGGAAAGCCUGACUUUCUGCCCCGUAGUGGGUCAAAAAUACAAAAGGAAUUACCUCAAAAAAUGAACUGAAAGUUGAGCAGAGACAGAGGUAAGAUCUUAACUUCUUCCUAAACCUGAACACUGUGUAUUUCUGGAUCUCAUGGCACCACAGAGAAAAAGAAUAUAUUACAUUUAAAGCAUUACUUUCAAAUACACUUGAUGACCUGCAGACAAGCAACUGAUUUGGUAUAAGCAGAGGUACAUUUAAUUAUAGCACAGGCUGUGGCACUACUCAUCUAGGAGUCCAUGAAUUCCUUCCUGGAUACUUGGCUCACGUGAGGAAUAUCCCACAGGUGCACCCUAAUAUCUUUCUUGUCAAUUAGCCAGAGAGAAGGAUUUUAUGCUACCCUACCCCUGUAUAGAUCUUAUAUAUUUCCACUAGCUUCCUCUUUUUCUGACCUCUGCAUAUAUUGACUUCAGAAUACUUAAGCAGAACACUAAGAGGAAGCACCACCUUUUCUGCCAAGCCUCCUUCCAGCUGAACCCUGAGAACUCUUUCUCCCU